GUACCAUGGACAUCAAGAGUCAAACUCUGGUGGACGAGGAGUUUGACUCUUCACCUGUCUGUUCAUGUGUGCUGUUAAACAUCAUCAUGACUCCUGUCUGUUUGCUAAUAAACACUAUCUAAAUAAAACAAGAUGCAUCAUUGCAAACAUUUAUCUUAACUAACAAUCUUCACACAUUAAACUUCCUCUUCUUCUUCUUCUUCUUCUCAGGGGGUGAAACACGUCAUUGUCACAAAUACAGCGUGGGAUUGGACACAGUGUGAACUUGAGACUCAGUAUGAGUCUUAAUAUAGUUUGUUUGUUACAGUGUUAGAUUGGCUCAGUGAAUGAAAAAAAAUAUUCCUUUAUUUAUUUUAUAUCAGAGAAAACUACAUUUUAAACAUCUAAAAUUAGAAAUUGUAAAUUUAAAGGUUUUGUCAGUUUGAACAUAUAUAAGAAAUUCAGAGACGAAAAUCUAAAACAGACCAAACCUCACUAUGAGGAAGUGACAUCAUACCAACCACAGGAAGUAGAUGCAGCGUCUCUCUACUGAAGCACUACUUUAUAAACUCACACAGUUAUGAGCAUGAGAACAAGAGAUAGAAGAAGGAGAGAGAGACAGAGAAUCACGAUGGUUGAGUUCAAAUGGAUUCAAAUGUCUUUAUUUCUGAUAGCGCUGCUUCACUUUACAGCAGCAGCUGAAAAACUCCUCUCUGUCAGAGUUGGAGAUGACGUCACUUUGCCUUGUGAUAAUGUGAUUGAUGGUCAGCAAAGAUGUGAAUAUACUACAUGGCUGUUCAGUGCUUCAGGAAACACAGCAUCAGUAUCGCUGUUUGAACUUGGACGGAUCAAAAACACCAACUCUAAAUCAGACAGACAGAGUCUUACAGGGAACUGUUCUCUGGUUAUAAAGAAGGUCACAGUCGAGGAUGUUAGUCGUUACACCUGCAGACAGUUUAUAUCAGGACAACAACAAGAUCCAGACUCUGUGGUUGAUCUGUCUGUUAUUACCAGUGAGUAUUUACAUCAUAAUGUUUUCAGCUCAAACUGUCUUGUUAGAACAAAAUACUGAAACAUUACAAUAAUUAUGAUUAUAGUGAUGAAGUUCA
rnacentral:lncRNA from 15 species